GCAUUCCAUUUUACAGGUUGGUUCGGUUCGAUAAAGCAUGUGUUAGUCUGUACUGUGCAGGAAGUCAGCUUAAUGGGUGUGUUUGUCUGUAGACCUCAUUUAUCAAUAUAAUGAAAGAGUGCAUUUUUGUAUGUAAAAUUUAACUAUAUAUACAGAAACACUCCCGCCCCUGCCACAAAUGUUCUGCUCGACACGGGGCUGCUGCCGCUUCCCUGCCAGCCUCCCUGCCCGCUUCCCUGCUCGCCUCCCUGCCCGCCUCGCCCACCGCUGCACAAUCGCACUCAUCUUUACUGGUGUUUUUUAUUAAGUUUUCCUGAGCAGCCCGCGCUCCUUUUUUCUCGGUCUGCUGCUGUAUAUGAAUGAGGCGCGCCGCCCCUUAUCUGCCCCGGAUACAACAAAGAACCGCGAUAUCUGCGACGCUUGUCUUCAAAUUAAACGUUGCCUGCCGUGAGUGCCGGCUGUUGUGUGUGUUCGGGGAGGGGGGGCGGGAGGAUGGCGUCUGGAUCUUUAAUAAACUUGAAAUAUACGAUUGCGUGUGUGUAUAUGUGCGUGCUUGAAGGCUCUGGUUCUCUUAUCUAUGUAAAUACAACUGUGUGUGUGCGCACGCGCUCAAUGCAACUGUGGACCUUUAACUUAGUGCGUGCAAUUGUUGCACUGAAUUCCAACGAAGACAAAAAAGAAAAAAAGUAAUAUAAAAGGAAAACUCGCACCCAAGACUUCCAAGAUAGCAGUGAGGUGUAAAUACCAAGGACUAAUCGCCGUGAUCGGUCCGCGGUGGUGUGGGAGUCCAGACUUUGGUUUUAGUAUAGUCUUAAUUCUUCAUAUGUAAUUGCUGCUCUGAACUCCGCGAAAAAGAAACUAGAUAAACCAGGCAGUAAGGAAGCCGGUCUGAUAAGAGUCAGUUAAUCCUUGUUCUUUCUUGUUCAUCUGUAAUUGCCGGGAGUGAAGGAGCUUAAGGAAAGACUUGAUAAAACGAGAAGCAAUGAACACCUUUUUUCGAUAAGAAUUUUACGUCCGCUACCUGAAUGGAAUUGGUGAGUGCAUGUAUGAUACGGCAGCCAAUUUUGGUGAUAGUUUAUACCGUAGCGGAGAGAGAGAGAGAGAGAGAGAGAGAGAGAGAGAGAGAGAGAGAGCGCGUCUACACCCCCCACCCUCAACCCCCCAACUCCCAAACUAGCACUCUCGCCCUCCCCCUAGCCUCGCCCGGGGCCAUACCUCCAUCACUUUACCUCACACUCCUCCAUUACGAUUUCCAAGUCAUCCCUUCAUCCAUAACUACAUACAUCCUUUCUCCAUCCAUCAAUUCCUCUAUUCUUUUAUUGUACUAGGUCUUCUUGUAUUCUAACCUUAACAGCAAAGAAGGAAUAGAGGUGGGGUGGAAGGGUUGGGUGGAGGGUAGCGGGGGUGGAGGGGGGGUUUCUUGCUUUCCCAGAUGUGUGUUUGGUGGGGGUGGGGGGUGGUAGGUUGAGAGGAGAGGUGGAAGUGCAGGAUAUCAGCACCGGAAGUUUACUUAUUUGGUUUCAAGCUAUUCACAGCGACGAGUGAGACGGAGGAAGAGUCUGCGUGAAGUGGCGGAGCUCCCGGCGUUGGGGUGACGGGUUUGAUCUCCCCGGUGCUUGGUAGGAGGUGGUGUUCUCCCCGACCCACGAUGCCGACAGUCUUCGGCGCUAAGGAACAACAGGCUACGUAGACGGCCGGGCGGGAAGGUGUGGCCUCGGCCACAGUGUUUCAGCAAGGAAAGGAAAAAGGAAGGACGAUAAAGGAAUAUAUUUAGAGUGCAGUGUUAUGUCAGGUGAAUAAGGCAUUCAUCUUAGACUGUAUCCUAGAAUGAAAGACAGCUGUGGUUAAAUAAGAAAAUAAGUGAAAGUUAAUGUUACAAAAAAAUAGUGUGAUAAAAACAGUUCGAGAAGAGGAACACAAAGACGUUGAAAAGUGUCCAUGACUGAAGAGAAAACUGUUAAUGACGUAGGAAAUAAAAUAAAAGUAUCCAAGUGCUUAAAACAAAAACAAAGUGACUGAACAUUAUGACCAAAGCAAGAAGUGAUUGAAAAAAUAUAACUAACAAAAACAGUGAAGCAUUACCACCAAAUGAAUAAGUGAUCAAAACUUUAUUAAAAAAAAAGGGAUUGAGCAUAAUCAACAUACAAAAAAAAAGAUCGUAGAAAAAUGACCAAAAAUAAGAAAUCAAAUAUAUAUAAAAAUAAGAAGAAGUUGAACAUUAUUAUCCAAACAUAGAGUUAUUAUUGAACCACUGCAAAAACAACCGCCUUUACUACUACUACUACUACUACUACUACUACUACUACUACUACUACGACUACUACGAACUCUGAAUCUCGAACUGCCUCUAACAACCUGCCAAUCCCUGCAAUGCUACCACCACCUCUGCUACAACUUCUGCCACUCCUAAUCCUGCUUGCCCCUCCUGCUGCUACUACUACCACUGCUACUACUAAUGCAGGCAGGAGGAUGGCCCGCCCAGCUGCUCCAUCCUUGGCCUGUGAGGUGGCUGACAACAAGUGUGUCUGGCCGCCUGACGGACUGACAGGCUGCCCGGCUGACGUGGAGUGCCGCCCCGACGUUCUCCCUUCUUCGAAUCAUGAGAUGUCGCUGGAAUGACUGUCGCAAACCGGGGAUUACUACGUGAGACUGGAUCGAGGCCCAUUACCAGCAUUUUCCGUGGACGCCAACUCCGACUUUACGGGCAUGCGAUACGGUACCCAGAAGUCGACCCUGCUCACCGGAUUGUUUUUGUAAGAAAACUCCGAGUGGAGGAGGCCGAGGGGACGCACACAGAGUUCGUGGAACGAGCAAAUCGAUGGAUGGAUGGACCGGGGGAUACUUGGGAUAGGGAGUGAGCCUGCAUGGAGGUUUACCCGGAGGGAUUCCCGGGGUAGGCGUCGUAGGGUGGGUGAGUGGACGCGCCCCCAGGCGUAUGCCUCAGUAAGUUGACUGAAUGGCCUAACUGAAUAAAGAUAUUCAUCUU